rnacentral:rRNA from 1 species
GGGGAAUAUUGCACAAUGGGGGAAACCCUGAUGCAGCGACGCCGCGUGGAGGAAGAAGGUCUUCGGAUUGUAAACUCCUGUUGUUGAGGAAGAUAAUGACGGUACUCAACAAGGAAGUGACGGCUAACUACGUGCCAGCAGCCGCGGUAAAACGUAGGUCACAAGCGUUGUCCGGAAUUACUGGGUGUAAAGGGAGCGCAGGCGGGAAGACAAGUUGGAAGUGAAAUCCAUGGGCUCAACCCAUGAACUGCUUUCAAAACUGUUUUUCUUGAGUAGUGCAGAGGUAGGCGGAAUUCCCGGUGUAGCGGUGGAAUGCGUAGAUAUCGGGAGGAACACCAGUGGCGAAGGCGGCCUACUGGGCACCAACUGACGCUGAGGCUCGAAAGUGUGGGUAGCAAACAGGAUUAGAUACCCUGGUAGUCCACACCGUAAACGAUGAUUACUAGGUGUUGGAGGAUUGACCCCUUCAGUGCCGUAGUUAACACAAUAAGUAAUCCACCUGGGGAGUACGACCGCAAGGUUGAAACUCAAAGGAAUUGACGGGGGCCCGCACAAGCAGUGGAGUAUGUGGUUUAAUUCGACGCAACGCGAAGAACCUUACCAAGUCUUGACAUCCCUUGACGAUGCUGGAAACAGUAUUUCUCUUCGGAGCAAGGAGACAGGUGGUGCAUGGUUGUCGUCAGCUCGUGUCGUGAGAUGUUGGGUUAAGUCCCGCAACGAGCGCAACCCUUAUGGUCAGUUACUACGCAAGAGGACUCUGGCCAGACUGCCGUUGACAAAACGGAGGAAGGUGGGGAUGACGUCAAAUCAUCAUGCCCUUUAUGACUUGGGCUACACACGUACUACAAUGGCGUUAAACAAAGAGAAGCAAGACCGCGAGGUGGAGCAAAACUCAGAAACAACGUCCCAGUUCGGACUGCAGGCUGCAACUCGCCUGCACGAAGUCGGAAUUGCUAGUAAUCGUGGAUCAGCAUGCCACGGUGAAUACGUUCCCG